rnacentral:lncRNA from 1 species
GUUAUCUCAUCCACCCUCACUAGCCCUUGUUUAGACCAUUUUUCAAUAGGAUUACAUUUGCACUAAAAGACUUUAAAUGUUUUAUUUUUAAAUUUGAAAAAUGAUGGAUUAAAGAAGAUGACUUAGAUUGAGUAGUGCUUGAAAAUUAGAGGAAAAUUGAGCUUGGUGAUUAUUCAAGUAAUUUUGUUGAUUGUUUGGAUUAAGAUAUGAUCCAUGUUAGGUUGCACAAGGAUAAAUAGAGAUCAUUUGCUUCAAUAUUUCAAUUCCUACUCU